rnacentral:lncRNA from 1 species
AUUAGAGGUAUUAGAAUCUCCUCACAUGAAAACCUUGUCAUUACUAUUUUUAUCCUCUAUUUGGUACGAUGGAUAGAUUGAAAGAAGACUAGAUGGGGGAGAAAGGAUAGAUGAAGGAGAGGAUGCAUAGAAAACCUAUUCAUCGUCCUAUGUAUUUGGUAAAAUAUAGAAGGAUAGAAGAGAAUAAUUUUUUUCUCUAGCUGAC